CAUACAUGCAAGUCGAACGGUCAGUAGCCAUWCUGAUAGUGGCGCACGGGUGCGUAACACGUAACUAACCUACCCAUCAUUGGGGGAUAGCCCGCCGAAAGGCGGAUUAAUACCGCAUAAGACUAUAGAGCGGCAUCGCUUAGUAGUUAAAGAUUUAUUGAUGAUGGAUGGGGUUGCGGGUCAUUAGCUAGUUGGUAAGGUAACGGCUUACCAAGGCGACGAUGACUAGGGGAGCUGAGAGGCUGGUCCCCCACACGGGCACUGAGAUACGGGCCCGACUCCUACGGGAGGCAGCAGUAGGGAAUAUUGGGCAAUGGGCGAGAGCCUGACCCAGCCAUGCCGCGUGCAGGAAGAAGGCUUUCUGAGUCGUAAACUGCUUUUGACAGGGAAGAAUAAGCUUCCACGUGUGAAGUGAUGACGUGCCUGCAGAAUAA
rnacentral:rRNA from 1 species